AUCCAGCUGACGAGUCCUAAAUAGGACGAAACGCCCGUCAAAUUGGAU
rfam:Schistosoma mattheei strain Denwood, Zambia genome assembly, scaffold: SMTD_scaffold0003734